rnacentral:rRNA from 1 species
AGCGAACGCUGGCGGCGUGCCUAACACAUGCAAGUCGAACGUGAAAGGGAGCAAUCCCAAGUAAAGUGGCGUACGGGUGAGUAACACGUAGGUAAUCUACCCCAGAAUCUGGAAUAGCCGGCCGAAAGGCUGGCUAAUACUGGAUAGAGCGACGGAAUCCGUAAUUGGGUUUUUCGGGAAAGGGAGCCUGUAAAAAGGCCUUCGUUCUGGGAUGAGCCUGCGUCCCAUCAGCUAGUUGGUGAGGUAAAAGCUUACCAAGGCAAUGACGGGUAGCUGGUCUGAGAGGACGAGCAGCCACACUGGAACUGAAACACGGUCCAGACUCCUACGGGAGGCAGCAGUGGGGAAUCUUGCGCAAUGGACGAAAGUCUGACGCAGCAACGCCGCGUGAGUGAAGAAGGCCUUCGGGUUGUAAAGCUCUGUCGAGUGGGACGAAAAUGCUUGGAGUUCACAGCUCCAGGAACUGACGGUACCACUAAAGGAAGCACCGGCUAACUCCGUG